GACGAACGCUGGCGGCGUGCUUAACACAUGCAAGUCGAACGGAAAGGCCCUGCUUUUGUGGGGUGCUCGAGUGGCGAACGGGUGAGUAACACGUGAGUAACCUGCCCUUGACUUUGGGAUAACAUCAGGAAACUGGGGCUAAUACCGGAUAGGAGCUCCUGCUGCAUGGUGGGGGUUGGAAAGUUUCGGCGGUUGGGGAUGGACUCGCGGCUUAUCAGCUUGUUGGUGGGGUAGUGGCUUACCAAGGCUUUGACGGGUAGCCGGCCUGAGAGGGUGACCGGCCACAUUGGGACUGAGAUACGGCCCAGACUCCUACGGGAGGCGGCAGUGGGGAAUAUUGCACAAUGGGCGGAAGCCUGAUGCAGCAACGCCGCGUGCGGGAUGACGGCCUUCGGGUUGUAAACCGCUUUCGCCUGUGACGAAGCGUGAGUGACGGUAAUGGGUAAAGAAGCACCGGCUAACUACGUG
rnacentral:rRNA from 1 species